rnacentral:rRNA from 1 species
AUGGAUCCCCCCAAUCGUGUCCCGGAUUGCCGCUUCUCCUUGUGCCUCCACGGCAAGAAUGGCGAUGGCAUCUUCAUGCCCUUGGGAUACCGCCAUGGCCUCCUACUCAUCUACCAAUUAGCGCGGUACCAACUCUUGGUGUGGGAUCCCUUCAACAUCGACCUACACCGCGUAGCCGUUCCCCCAGAGUUCGAUCGGCUCGAGGCCCCAUUUAAAGGGGCGGUUUCUCGCGCCGCCGGAGACAUUCAACACUUCCGGGUGGUCUUGGUAAGCACAGAGACAGACGAGCAGCAACAGACACGGGCCUUCGCCCGCAUUUACUCGUCGGAGACUGCCAAAUGGGGUGAUCGCAUAUCAACACCACUUCCAUCCAAACUUCCCACCAACAGUCACAUGUACUUUACCAUGGGUGUGCUAGUUGGGCAUUCCCUUUACUGGUUGUUCAAUGACAGAUCGGCAAAAACUCUACUGUUGGAUGGCAUACUUGAGUUUGAUUUGGAGAAGCAGAUCGUAGCUGUGAAACCAGUACCAGUGGGUAUUCCCAAGGAAAACAUGUGCCGAUUCCAGGUUAUGCAGGCAGAGGGUGGUGGCCUUGGCAUUCUAUUUCUGUCAAAUUUCAGCGCCCAAUUAUGGAAGGUGGAGACCGAUUGUGAUGGUGCUGCUUCAUGGGUGCUAGGAAGAACCGUUGAACUGGAUAAGCUACUUUCCAUUAAUUCAAGGAAGAAGAGGAAAUGGAACCAAAGUAUAGAGGGGUUUGCUGAGUACAAUAAUGUGCUGCUGCUGCGGACACCUACCGACCUCUUCAUGAUCCAGCUUGAGCCACUGCAGUUCAAGAAAGUUUCCAAGACCAAGAAGUGGGUUUGUUAUCAUCCGUUUGAAAGUGUUUAUGCUACAGGUAAUAGCAUCUAA